CCUACGGGUGGCAGCAGUGGGGAAUAUUGGGCAAUGGGCGCAAGCCUGACCCAGCAACGCCGCGUGAAGGAAGAAGGCUUUCGGGUUGUAAACUUCUUGUGGCAGGGAAGAGGAGAAGACGGUACCUGACGAAUAAGCCACGGCUAACUACGUGCCAGCAGCCGCGGUAAUACGUAGGUGGCCAGCGUUGUCCGGAUUUACUGGUUGUAAAGGGCGUGUAGCCGGGUUGACAAGUCAGAUGUGAAAUCCUGCGGCUUAACCGCAUAACUGCCUUUGAAACUGUUGAUCUUGAGUACUGGAGAGGCCGUCGGAAUUCCUCGUGUAUCGGUGACAUGCGUAGAUAUUAGG
rnacentral:rRNA from 1 species